GGCCUUGACAUACUAAGAACUUUCCAGAGAUGGAUUGGUGCCUUCGGGAACUUAGAUACAGGUGCUGCAUGGCUGUCGUCAGCUCGUGUCGUGAGAUGUUGGGUUAAGUCCCGNAACGAGCGCAACCCUUUUCCUUAUUUGCCAGCGGGUCAUGCCGGGAACUUUAAGGAUACUGCCAGUGACAAACUGGAGGAAGGCGGGGACGACGUCAAGUCAUCAUGGCCCUUACGGCCAGGGCUACACACGUGCUACAAUGGUCGGUACAAAGGGUUGCUACCUCGCGAGAGGAUGCUAAUCUCAAAAAGCCGAUCGUAGUCCGGAUCGCAGUCUGCAACUCGACUGCGUGAAGUCGGAAUCGCUAGUAAUCGCGGAUCAGAAUGCCGCGGUGAAUACGUUCCCGGGCCCUGUACACACCGCCCGUCACACCAUGGGAGUUUGUUGCACCAGAAGUAGGUAGUCUAACCGCAAGGAGGACGCUUACCACGGUGUGGCCGAUGACUGGGGUGAAGUCGUAACAAGGUAAGCGUAGAUGA
rnacentral:rRNA from 1 species